GUUAUCGAUCCGUGUCACAGUCACAGUGCUCCUCCCUCCCUUGGGCCUGGUCUCUCACUCUUCCUCUCCUAGGUGUGCAGCGGUGCAGCUGAGUGGCGGCAGGUGUGGCGAGUUGUAAUCAGCAGAUCAAGUGCAGAAUCGGCUCCUGCCUGCUUGUGUCCCUGGCUCUUCAGCGUCCACACCGUCUGCAGUGAGUUGCCUUACCUGGAUUCCUUGGAUCCUUGGUCCUGGAACGCACACCUGCCGCUGUCACAGGAACACAGCCACGCCAGCUGGAACGCCAUACUCAUCUAGUCUGAAGCCAGUCCCGGUCGUCCUCUGGCAAGCCAGCCUUUCCCCUGCAGGCUGAGUUACAUCAAGGAGGAGAUCCGUUCCCCCCUGGACUGCUCGAUUCUGGCUUCUAGCUUGGACUGUGUCUCACCUAGGACAUUCAAGUGAAGUAGCAGUCCCUCCUCAAGGUCAGAGAUUGCAGCAUCUGAGGGCCUCUUCAAAAGAAGACGUAGUUGAUGAAGGCAUUCUGGAGCAGGACCAGAAAGACCACGACCAAGCAGCCUUGAGAUCUUAAGCAGCGUCUCCCUGAGUUCUGCCGGGCCAGAUCAGCUUCCCCUCAGAAGAAGUGGCGCCACCUGCCAGAUGAAGGAGCCUUUUGAGAGGCAGCCGGCAUCGUGAUUGGACUAUACUUUGGUCUGUUCCAAUCCAGCUUCAGCUCCAGAGACGGCAGGCGGGACGAGUCAACAGAGGCCGGGUGGACAAAGGCAUGCAGCUGAGUACAAUCUAGAAAACAAAAGAGCAAAAGAGGAGGAGUGCAGCAGCCCAGGACCAGAACAGACAGAUUAGCAUAGUAUGUCUCUUAGAAAACAUCAUAGCCUUUGGUAUGAAAAAACGGCAUCAUAUACAUCGUAUAUUGUAUAAAUAACAAGUCAAAGGAAAGAGACAUACAUUGUAGAAUUGUAGUAAUUGUUGGCUGACUGAUUUACUGAUUAUCAGUAUUUUAUUUUUUAAUGAUUUACGGUAAUAAAUAAAUUUAAAAAUGGU
ensembl:lncRNA